GUCCGUCUUCUUCUCUUUCUUUCAUUUAUUUUCAUCCCCUAAAUUUUUUUGCUUGCCCAAAAGGGGGAAAAAAGUUCGAGCUUUUACUCAAUUAGGGUUUUAUAGAUUAAAUCUUUGGAUACGUUGUACGCGUUUCUGGUCGUUCGAAUUCGUUAGGGCUGCCAAUUCGCAGCGGCUGUAGGACCCAAGAACUCUUAGGAUGAUCAUAAGAAAGAAGAGUUUCUUGCUAGGUUGAGACAAGAAUUAGAUCAUUAAGCAAUAAUCUGCUAGCAUGGAGCAGCUCAUGAUGAUCGAAAAUGGGCUGGGUGGUGAUAGUUCAGACUUUGAUGUCGACGAUGUCAGGUGCGAAAACCUUGCAGAGAAUGAUGUAAGUGAAGAAGAAAUAGAGGCUGAGGAUCUAACUAGAAGAAUGUGGAAGGACAAAGUUAAGCUUAAGAGACUUAAAGAGCGACAAAAGCUUGCUCUCCAGCAGGCAGCUAAGAAAUCCAAGCCCAAGCAGCCCUCUGACCAAGCUCGGAGAAAGAAAAUGUCUAGAGCCCAGGAUGGGAUUCUUAAGUAUAUGUUGAAGUUGAUGCAAGUGUGCAACGCCCGUGGUUUUGUCUAUGGAAUAAUACCCGAGAAGGGAAAACCGGUGAGUGGUGCUUCAGAUAACAUCAGAGCUUGGUGGAAGGAGAAGGUGAAGUUCGAUAAAAAUGGACCAGCGGCUAUAGCAAAAUACGAAGCAGAGAACCUUGCAGCCGAGAAUGCAAAGAAUAACGGAGGAAAAAAUUGUUACAGCCUCAUGGACCUUCAAGAUGCUACAUUGGGAUCUUUACUAUCGUCAUUAAUGCAACAUUGUGAUCCUCCACAGCGUAAAUUCCCUUUAGAAAAGGGUGUUCCUCCUCCUUGGUGGCCUACGGGAAAUGAAGACUGGUGGAUAAAUCUAGGGUUGCCUAAGGGCCAGAUUCCCCCUUAUAAAAAGCCACAUGAUCUAAAGAAAAUGUGGAAGGUCGGAGUAUUGACUGGCGUUAUUAAGCAUAUGUCUCCCAAUAUUGAGAAGAUAAGAACCCAUGUCAGGAAAUCAAAGUGUUUGCAGGAUAAGAUGACUGCGAAAGAGAGUUCUAUCUGGUUGGGAGUGUUAAAUGGAGAGGAAACAAGUAUUCUGUUGCCUAGCAGUGAGAAUGGGAUGUCUGAUGUGACGGAGAAUCCACAUAAUUGCCACGAUGAGAGAAGAGAGGAUACUAACAGCAGUAAUAACGAGUAUGAUGUUGAUGACGCUCGUGACUCUAUUUCAUCGAAAGCUCCACAAUCAUGUAGAGAAUUUGAUGUUUCAACAGGUGGAGAGAAUUCUCCAGCUGAUGGUCCUAUUCAAGCAACUAAAAAGCCAAGGAGAAAAAGAGCUCGUGUGAGUUCUAAAAUUGUUGAUCGUGACUCAGCAGGAUCUCAAAAUAGUCAUUUAGAAGAACACCGAAGAAAUUAUAUCCCUGAUAUGAAUGAUGCAGAUUUACCUGCUAUCAGUUAUCAUAUGGGAAAUGCUAACUUGGAGAAUUAUACAAAUCCUUCUUCAAGUACUCGGGAUAAUCACAACGAGAAUCAAUUAAUUGUUCCAGAGCCUGGAGUUGCUAAUGCACAUGAGAUUGAUACUAACAACCAAUUAAGUGUUCCUCCUCUUAAUGCUGCCGUGCAAAAUAUGUAUGUGGACAACCAUCCCUUGAUGUAUCAGGAUGUUUUCAAUGGUAAUUUGCACUCUCAAACUCCGCCGUUUAGGGUCUUCCCCUCAUCUGUUGGAUAUGGGCACACCCAAAAUAAAGAGCAAAUGAGGACCGAGGAUACUGGACUUGCUGUUGGUAAUCAUAUCUACGGGCAUGCACUGGAUAUGAAUGGAAGUUCAGAGGAAAUUGCUGGGAAUGUGCAUCCGUUAGCAGUUGAGGAACCGAUCCAAAGCGAUUCAAAUAAAUAUGUUGGUAGUCAGUUUGAUUCUCUUUAUCCGAUGUCCCAUGAUUUCGGUCUCGGAAGUCCACUUGGUUCGAUUCCUGACAUUGAUGACUUCAUCUUGGAUGAUGAUGAUUUGAUGGGGUACUUGGGAACAUAAGGCCAUGCCUCCGUCUGUUCUGUGAAUUUCUACAGCGUUCUCCAUUUUCAGAUCUGUAGGAUAUUAGUUUUUCAUAGUCAUGACUCGUAUGGGGCCUUUCCGCAAAAGCCGAAGUAACAGGUCUUGUGAUGGACGGCCCUCAUUUAUCCACGUGUCACCGAAGCGCCAGCUGCUCUGCAACUCCAGAGUCGGCCGUUAUGCGAUCGCAACGAAACCAAUAUUUCCAUUAUGACCAAUCUGCCCCUGACAUCGCCGGAGGUUAAACGCUCUUCUUCAAAUACGGAAGGGCAUUUUUGUCACUCACUCUCCCGCCGAGGGAGCAGAACACUCCCGUCCAAAAUGAGGGGCUCUUCUCGUGAAUCAGCGUAAAAUUGGGGGCUUUCCUGUACAACAGAAACCCUCUUACUGGAUGCCACGUGUCCAUACAGCUGUGCAUCCUCUCCCGCCAGCUCCCCACACUUAUUUUUCUAUUAUAAAAAAAAAAAGAAAAUAAACUUUUAUUCAAGCUUUUUUUUUCCCCACCCGAGGAAAAAAAAGGCAGUAGAAUCGAGCACCAUUUAUUCAAUUUUCUUGUUUGGGAUUUUCAAUGGCAAGCAGAGGCUCCUGGUUGCUAGCCGCCACCCUCUUCAUAUCAAUGGCUUUCCUCACUCUCGCUUCUCGUACUCUCAUUAAUCCAAGUCUGCAUGAAGAAGCGAAGAUGGAAGCACCAGCAAUGGAUAACAGGGUUGGGAUGGAGGAUAGAACGGUGAAUAAAUCAACGGUUGAAGAAUCAAAGAGGCAAGUACCAACAGGCUCCAACCCCGUUCAUCACAACAGAGACCCUUUUCACCAUUUCCUUUGAUUUUCUCUCUCUUUUUUUUUAUCUCCUUAAAAAAAAUAUGUUCUUUGAGAUGAAGAGAUAAUUUGAAAUGGCUACUCUUUGUUCGUUCUCAUCACCUUAUGUAUGUAAUCUUGUUUCUUUGGA